rnacentral:lncRNA from 10 species
GCAGUCCCGGUUUUCGCGGCGGCAGGCUGGAGCAGGAGGCAGGCUGGGAUGGGGUUGGAGGGGCCAAGAUAGGCCCAAAAGAAGGGGGCACUGGGCGUUAGGGGCGCAGGUCCAGCCAGUUAGCAAGGGCGGCGCGCUGGGAAGAGUGGUGUAUUUUCACGCCGACACCCGUAUUUUCUUGGCUUGCCUCAAGCCGUCUCUGCGUGACUCGUUACCCCGCCGAAGCCACCCGGCAUCCCAAAGCACGAGCCUGGCGCCUCCUAUUCCACGCGGAAGUGCCCGAGUGACCCUGUGAAGGACCUCCCUCCCCUCACACACGCACAUACACAAGCCCAUGUGGGAGCCCGAGUGACGUGUGCUCGGUGGUCAUGCACCAUCAUUUCCCUUCCACCUUCCUCCUCGCCGCUUCCUCUCCCUCCACCGCGCAGCUCCAGCCGCCUUGCCGCCGCCGCAUCCCCUUCCAAGUUCAGGCUGUGGGUGGAACCUGUUGCUUUAGCUCACGUUUCCCUUCCCCUCCGGGCUGCACGCUGAGGAUGACCUCAGCGAGGUGUGUGUAAGGGGAAUGGAGGGUUUGGCUUCCUUGAGACAGAGGAUCUUGCUCGCCUCAAAGAGGAGGGCAGUUUGCCCCCUUCCUCCUGACUCCAAGACAAAAGAGAGAAGACUGAAGAGUGGGAUCCAGGGCCUCUCAGAGUUCACCUGAGCUUUCCCAAGUCUGGUUUGUUCUCUCUACCCUGCUGCUACUACUGCAAGUGACUUUCACAAGAUGCUUCUGAGCAUAGCAUUGCUCUGCUGUGACCACUGCAGAUGUCAAGAGAAUUUCUGCCUUUUGGAACUUGGACAAUAUUGGCCACCUACCCAGAGAGAGGAGAAGGAUAAUCCAGACAUAAAGGUAGCUCCCACACAUCCUUUGGAUCUCUGAUAAAGAGUCAUAUACUUAAAGAGCCAUCCUCACAUUCCUGCCCAGACUGUGAGCUGCAUGAGAGAGGCCAUGUCUCAUUUUGUUCCAUUACAUCUCCAGCACUUAAGAGUGCUGGACACAUAACGAGUGUCUGACACAUAACGAGUGCUGAAUAAAUGUUUGUUAACUGAUAAAAUG